GUCCGGAGGUGGUGGCGGAUGGUCCGGAGGUGGCGGUGGAGGCUGGUGGUAAAAGUAUACGCGGUAUCUACUAAACGAUUCGAAAUCAUCGGUUUUCCCAAGAUCAUAAGUGCACUUAAUCGACCGAAUGGAUUUCAACACGUCGUCGUUGCUGAAGAAGCUUUCCCAAUCUCCCCCUUUCGAGCUUUUUGAAAGAAACAUCGUUCAAUAUUACGAAACGUGAUUAAACUCGAUCUACGAGAACGUGGAUUAAACGAGUAACGAAACGACUUAAGAAAAACGAAAAAAUGCAAGAAAUAUUUGCAAAUUUCUGUUACAUCUAUAGACGUUUCAAAAAAAAAAAAAAAAAAAAAGAAAAAAGAAAGGAAACAGAAGAACAAUCGAAGAAACAUUUCGAAAGAAAUAAUACGACGGAUAGUUUGAAAGGACACCAGCAGAGUGUUCAAAGAUUGAACUUGUUUUCUUUGUUACAAAAAAAGAGAGAGAGAGAGAAAGAAGAGAGAAAAAAAAUCAAUGGACAACGAAGAUCGUCACGUUCUUCGACGAUGAGAAAAGAACGAUACCUUCGAUGGCAUACCAUUAUCGAUUCUCACUCUUCUUCGAGAUAAAAA